GAGUUUGAUCUUGGCUCAGAUUGAACGCUGGCGGCAUGCCUUACACAUGCAAGUCGAACGGCAGCACGGGAGCUUGCUCCUGGUGGCGAGUGGCGAACGGGUGAGUAAUGCAUCGGAACGUAUCCUGGAGUGGGGGAUAACGUAGCGAAAGUUACGCUAAUACCGCAUAUUCUGUGAGCAGGAAAGCGGGGGACCUUCGGGCCUCGCGCUCUUGGAGCGGCCGAUGUCGGAUUAGCUAGUUGGUGAGGUAAAGGCUCACCAAGGCGACGAUCCGUAGCAGGUCUGAGAGGAUGAUCUGCCACACUGGAACUGAGACACGGUCCAGACUCCUACGGGAGGCAGCAGUGGGGAACUUUGGACAAUGGGGGCAACCCUGAUCCAGCCAUGCCGCGUGAGUGAAGAAGGCCUCGGUUGUAAG
rnacentral:rRNA from 1 species